AUUGAACGCUGGCGGCAUGCUUUACACAUGCAAGUCGGACGAGUGGCGAACGGGUGAGUAACGCAUCGGAACGUACCGAGUAAUGGGGGAUAACUGUCCGAAAGGACAGCUAAUACCGCAUAUUAUUCUAUCUGCCGAUGUCGGAUUAGCUGGUUGGGGGGGUAAAGGCCCACCAAGGCGACGAUCCGUAGCGGGUCUGAGAGGAUGAUCAGCCACACUGGAACUGUGACACGGCCCAGACUCCUACGGGAGGCAGCAGUGGGGAAUUUUGGACAAUGGGCGCAAGCCUGAGCCAGCCAUGCCGCGUGUCUGAAGAAGGCCUUCGGGUUGUAAAGGACUUUUAUCGGGGAAGCGGUACCUGAAGAAUAAGCACCGGCUAACUACGUGCCAGCCGCCGCGGUAAUAC
rnacentral:rRNA from 1 species